CUCUGAUGUACUUUGGUUCGUCAACACAUUCGCCUUGUACACAUUCCCAUGUUUCAUGUUAUCUGUGGUGGAGGGCAAAUUGAGGGGUAUGUGUGAAGGUGUAACAAAAAUUUGAAAUAUGCGUGAGAGUAAGGUAUGAACUAGAUUUUGUAUAAUGUCAGUAAAUAUUAGACCCUUCGACGAUAUUGUGAGAGAACGUUACGAUGAUGAAAAUUAUCCAACUAAGACUUCUGAAGAACAGCAAAAGGUUGAAGAAUCAAUUGAAGACCUUUAUGAUACCUUCUCAAAGAUAGCAGAGUCAGAUGCUGAUGCUCCUUUGUUACUUAGAAGACAACAUGAACAUUUCCUCAGAACUUUAUUGCGCCGUUUACCAAAAGCCUACCAAUGUCUGGAUUCCAGCAGACCAUGGCUCUGUUAUUGGAUUUUGCACUCUCUUGAACUUCUGGAGUUAACUCUAGAGCCAGAUUUUAUCUCUAGUAUUGCACAGUUCCUUGCAAGAUGUCAGUGCCCCGAUGGAGGGUUUGGCGGUGGUCCAGGGCAGUAUGCACAUCUUGCACCCACAUAUGCAGCUGUUAAUGCAUUAUGUACGCUUGGGACAGAAGAAGCGUUCCGUGUCAUUGAUAGAGAGAAACUAAGCCAAUUCUUAUGGGCUGUUAGAUCACCGGAUGGAGGCUUCCACAUGCAUGUUGGAGGAGAAUGUGACAUCAGAGGUGUAUACUGCGCACUUGCCGUUGCAAAAUUGACGAACAUUUAUACAGACUCAUUGUUUGAAAAUUCAGCUGAAUGGAUAGUCAGUUGCCAGACAUAUGAAGGUGGUUUCUCAGGCUGCCCAGACAUGGAGGCGCAUGGAGGCUAUACAUUCUGUGGCUUGGCGGCAUUAACUAUACUUGGAAGAGAAAAUUUGUGCAAUAUGAAGGCACUUAUGCGGUGGGCUGUAAAUCGACAAAUGCGCUUUGAAGGUGGCUUUCAGGGUCGCACCAACAAGCUUGUAGAUAGCUGCUAUUCAUUUUGGCAGUGUGGUAUUUUUCCUAUGAUACACCGAAUACUAACACAAGAGGGUACCAGUACUGUAGACAUGGAGAGGUGGCUUUUCCAUCAGACAGCCUUACAAGAAUAUAUACUCGUUUGUUGCCAGGAUCCUUCUGGGGGUUUUGUUGACAAGCCAUCAAAGUUCUGUACUAUUGCAGACCCCGUGAUGUUUAUCAUACCUGUUACACACUGAGUGGAUUGUCCGUUGCACAGCAUGCAGUUGGGGACCGGUGCUGUAUUGUAGGAAAUCCAAUUUUAAAUGAAAUUGCUCCUGUUCAUCCAGUGUACAAUAUUAGCAAAGAAGCCUAUCUGAAUGCUGCUCUGUAUUUUACAAAUCUACCUACAGUACGAAGAAAACGGUCGUGAGGUUUCCUUUUUCAUAGUAGAAUCCACAAGCAAACUGAAAAGACAUUAGGUGGUACAACAUUGCUUCUUACCUAACACACAAAGUGUAAAUGAUACUGUUUUAUAUGGAAUUCUUUGUAUGGACCCUGAAAAAUGAAAUGGUUUGAAGCAUUGCAAUGAAGGCAUAUCUGUCGUGCAAACACUGCAUCAUCCAUUACAGGAAAAAAAUUACUUAAUUCUUGAAGGACUGGGAUACCAAGAAAAAUCAUACCCUGCUGGCUUAAUUAUGUAUAAUCGUGAUGAACUUUAAACUAUAGUUCCGUCAUUGUGAUUAUGUUGUUCCAGUCUUUUGAGUUUUGGAAGUUUUAUGAUAGACUGUUAUAGGUUACUCCAGAAAGGCAUUGGACUUACCUACAGUUCUCUCCGUAAUACAGUUAAUCAUAAAGUUGGUGAGCCAACACUUCUUCCUACAACCAAGAUAAUGGAAAAGUGUUGCUACAAAUACAGAUGACGCUCAUUCACAUAUUUCCAUCCCAGUCCUGAUACCUCCUCCAUCCCCCAUUCCUGUUCACCUCCCCUCAUUCCGCCUCUUCCGCUCCCCCAUCCCCCUCUCCUGAUGCUUUUCUCUCUAAAAUUGAGUGAAGAGAACAGGCUUGUAAGUUGAAGCAUAACAGUAUUAUUUAUUUGUUUCUCACCAAAGAAUUUGGCAGUGUUUUGUAGUGUUUAUGUUCAUUGAAAUGAGUAGAGAAUUCAUCUGACAGCUGAACAGAAUAACUCAACAAGACACAACAGAGCACAGAUUUUCUUCAGCCCUCUUCCCCCUUCCAAUAUGCUAUGCUUAUGAUUUUUCAAACCUGAAUUCAGCAGGUAAAAAUAUAACAGGAGAGAGAGCUUUAGAUUCACAUAUGAUAUAGUACUGCAGAAUGUUAGUAUCCAGCCUAAAGAUGCAUACACAAGGUAAAAAUAAAAUUCUACCGAGCUCCAGAACCUAUACAGCUUUCAUCAAUUUAUAUGAAACCAUCGCAUGAUUAUAUCUUUUGUAAAAAAAAAAAAAAUUAAAAAAAUAUAUGUAAACAGUUGUACCAGUACUUUCCUUUUACGUGUCACAUACACAUCAGAGCAGAUGGAAUUGUCAUUAUGAUAUGCUUUCAUUGAAAAAGAGAGAAGGGGAGUUUGUUGAAUGUUGUUUUGCUAUGGAUACUUUGCAUAUGUCCUUGUUGAAGAUUGAUUAGUAAUUUGAAUGAGACAGACAUAUUGACCAAUAAUUUUAGUGAUUUUUACAUGUCUGGUAAGUGAUGAAAAAUAAUAAAGUGAACUAUCUCUGUUUUAGUGAUGUCUGUUUACACUUCAUGUGAAUAAAAUUGUGGAAGUUUGGUUGUUAUUUAUGAAAGAUCAAAUUACAUUUUUACGCUCUUAUCUUGGAGAAUGAUACGCUUUUCAAUACUAUUAACUUGUAUAUAAUAAAGAAAUAUGGCUAUUGCCGUUGCAUAAAAGAA